GCCGGUGUAGCUCAGCGGUAGAGCACCUGUUUUGUAAACAGGUUGUCACAGGUUCAAUCCCUGUCACCGGCU
rfam:Candidate division WWE3 bacterium RBG_19FT_COMBO_53_11 rbg_19ft_combo_scaffold_417, whole genome shotgun sequence.